rnacentral:lncRNA from 1 species
GGUGAUAGCGGAGCGGCUGGGUAGGAAGCAAUUGUUCUCAAACUUCACUAGCCCCGUCGGCGCGGACGCUUGUCGAGAAUGCAGAUUCCUGGGUACUGCCAGAUACGGUUGGUGAUCUUGUAGGGCUGGAGUGGAAGCCAUGAAUCUGCAUUUUCAUCAUUUCUGGCCCUCUGCCCGGGCUGGGGUGAUUCACGGGGAUUCGUAGUGGCCCCAAAGGAGCACGCAGAACCUCGGCUGCUGUGCAUUUAUCACCUCUUUUGUUCCCGGAGGCCGCACCCCAGGUCCAGUUUACACAGCUGCCAACUCCUUUUCUUGGUUCCCACUGGAAUCUAGGAAGAAAACUCGCCCUUUACUUCUCCGCCCCACACCCGACGACGGAGUGUCUAGAGGUCUGGUCGGCCUUGGCUGUGCGGAGGGCUAGGCCUGACGAGCGGGCGCUGAUGCGGCGCAGACCCCGCCGGACCUCUUGGUCGGCCCGGGGUAGGCUGGGGAGCCGCGGGAACAGGACUGGAUAGGGAAAGCGGCACCGCAGCGUCCACGGGCAAGCUGAAAGUCCGCUUGAUGUCUUUGCAUCACAGUGGCGCCCUCCCCGCAGGAACGCCCGGCCGCCUGCACCGAACGUUUGCCUGCAGGGAACGGCCAACCCGCCCUGAAAUACUCUUUUUGUGGGCUGCAGCUUUCGGGAUUGAGCAUACCACAAAAAAGUUCUCAUUUUGUGUCCUCCCAUCCCAUUCUCCUCACUAACCAAAGGCUAGGAAUUAUCUGUGAAUGUAGGACCACUGGAUUUGCAGUCUUCAUCUGACACUGUGGAGAGUUUCUAGGAAUGAAACAGAUAUAUGGCCUUGGGUCCCCUUUUUUUUUCUUUUUUUUUUUUUUAAUAGAGACGAGCAUCUCACUAUGUUGCCUAGGGUAGUCUUGAACUCCUGGCCUCAAGCAAUCCCCACCCGACUCCGCCUCUCGAAGUGAUGGGAUUACAGGCAUAAACCACCACGCCUGGCCAGAAGGUGCUUUAACACCAAAUCUGAAAAUUGUUCAGAAGAGAAACAUUGAGCAUGAACACCAUCUGUGCGAGUCAUUUACUUAUUGCCCCUCACCUCUAAAUCUACCUUCUGUACUCUUCUUCCCUGUAAUGAUGGGGCUAGUUGUCCUCAAACUGUUUCUCAGACUUCUUUUUAAGCUUGCUUCCUGUUCAGUUCUGCCAAUAGGGGUCACUAGAGAGAGACUGGGAGGCAGAAGGAGAGAAUAUGCUUCCUGUUUUUUCUGUUCUUGUUAAUGUUGCUUACAGGACCAGCAAUGCUUCUUCACCUAGAGACACUUCUCCCAGCAGUGGCAGUGCCACUUCAGCUUCUUUCAGCACUACUGGAAUCAGCCUCAGUGAUUCCCCCUGUACCCGCUCAGAGAUUAUCCACAGCAGCCAGAUGGUUCUACCUUCCACAAAGAUUGUGGUUGCAAUUCUGGGCUUCUAAGUUCUGGUUACUUCAUAUUUUUCCUUUUGUUCCUCCAGCCCUAGAGGUGGUAGCUGCUUUCUGAAGUUAUUAUUUCUAGAUGACUUUUGGUUUUUCAGCCUUUGUAUUUUGCUUUUCAGCCCUCUAAUGCCUGUAUAACCAAUUUCCCUGUAAUAAAUAAAUUUCCUCCAUUGAAAUACCUUAUUACUACUGAACUAUUUCACAAACCCAUUUUGAAAGUCAAAAACCGAGCACUGAGUCUUUCUCUGUAAUCCAGCUACACCAACCCUAAUCUUCUCUGAGGUGAUGCACAGCUGUCACUGGGGAGAAAUGGAAUGCCAGGAAAUGCACAAAGGAAAAGCAUCCUGACAAAUGUUUUCAGCCUUAUGCGCCACACCACUAAAGAACAUUGCCACCUGCUGUAGGAUAUGAAGCUUCUGAAGCACAUGAGAAGUAAGAGGAAACAAUGGUCAUGCCCCCAAAGGUCUUGCUCCACAGAACUGGAGGGACACGUUCUGAAGAAUCCCAGAUUGCAUUCCAGAUGCACCCC